rnacentral:rRNA from 1 species
UACGGAGGUGCGAGCGUUGUCCGGAAUCAUUGGGCGUAAAGGGCGCGUAGGUGGCCUGGUCAGCGUGCGGUGAAAGCUCGGGGCUCAACCCCGAGUCGGCCGUGCGAACUGCUGGGCUGGAGCACUGUAGAGGCAGGCGGAAUUCCGAGUGUAGCGGUGGAAUGCGUAGAGAUCCGGAAGAACACCGGUGGCGAAGGCAGGCUACUGGACAGAAGGUGACGCUGAGGCGCGAAAGGUGUGGGGAGGC